rnacentral:misc_RNA from 1 species
GAUGAAGAACGUAGUGAAAUGCGAUAAGUAAUGUGAAUUGCAGAAUUCAGUGAAUCAUCGAAUCUUUGAACGCACAUUGCGCCCCUUGGUAUUCCAUGGGGCAUGCCUGUUCGAGCGUCAUUUGUACCUUCAAGCUCUGCUUGGUGUUGGGUGUUUGUCUCGCCUCUGCGUGUAGACUCGCCUCAAAAUAAUUGGCAGCCGGCGUAUUGAUUUCGGAGCGCAGUACAUCUCGCGCUUUGCACUCAUAACGACGACGUCCAAAAGUACAUUUUUACACUCUUGACCUCGGAUCAGGUAGGGAUACCCGCUGAACUUAAGCAUAUCAAUAAGCGGAGGA